GGGGAAUCUUCCGCAAUGGGCGAAAGCCUGACGGAGCAAUACCGCGUGAGGGAGGAAUGCCUUUGGGUUGUAAACCUCUUUUCUCAGGGAAGAAGAUCUGACGGUACCUGAGGAAUAAGUAUCGGCUAACUCCGUGCCAGCAGCCGCGGUAAUACGGAGGAUGCAAGCGUUAUCCGGAAUCAUUGGGCGUAAAGCGUCCGCAGGUGGUUUCCAAAGUCUGCUGUUAAAGACUGGAGCUCAACUCCGGAACGGCGGUGGAAACUUGGAAACUAGAGUUCGGUAGGGGUAGCAGGAAUUCCCAGUGUAGCGGUGAAAUGCGUAGAUAUUGGGAAGAACAUCGGUGGCGAAGGCGUGCUACUGGACCGUAACUGACACUCAGGGACGAAAGCUAGGGGAGCGAAAGGGAUUAGAUACCCCUGUAGUCCUAGCUGUAAACGAUGGAAACUAGGUGUGGCUUG
rnacentral:rRNA from 1 species